rnacentral:rRNA from 1 species
ACGAGUUUGAUCAUGGCUCAGAGUGAACGCUGGCGGCAGGCCUAACACAUGCAAGUCGAACGGCAGCACGGCAGUAGCAAUACUGUGGGUGGCGAGUGGCGGACGGGUGAGGAAUACAUCGGGAUCUACCCUGUUGUGGGGGAUAACGUAGGGAAACUUACGCUAAUACCGCAUAAGAACUGAGGUUGAAAGCGGCGGACCGCAAGGCGUCGCGCGAUUGGAUGAACCGAUGUCCGAUUAGCUAGUUGGCGGGGUAAAGGCCCACCAAGGCGACGAUCGGUAGCUGGUCUGAGAGGACGACCAGCCACACUGGAACUGAGACACGGUCCAGACUCCUACGGGAGGCAGCAGUGGGGAAUAUUGGACAAUGGGCGCAAGCCUGAUCCAGCCAUGCCGCGUGGGUGAAGGAGGCCUUCGGGUUGUAAAGCCCUUUUGUCCGGAAAGAAAAGCAUUCGGUUAAUACCCGGGUGUUCUGACGGUACCGGAAGAAUAAGCACCGGCUAACUUCGUG